rnacentral:rRNA from 1 species
CAGUAGCCGCGGGAAUACGGAGGGUGCAAGCGUUAAUCGGAAUUACUGGGCGUAGAGCGUGCGUAGGCGGUUCGUUAAGUCUGUUGUGAAGGCCCCGGGCUCAACCUGGGAAUGGCAAUGGAUACUGGCGAGCUAGAGUGUGUCAGAGGAUGGUGGAAUUCCCGGUGUAGCGGUGAAAUGCGUAGAGAUCGGGAGGAACAUCAGUGGCGAAGGCGGCCAUCUGGGACAACACUGACGCUGAGGCACGAAAGCGUGGGGAGCAAACAGGAUUAGAUACCCCCGUAGUCCCUGUCUCUUAUAC